GUUGGACAUGAAAGAGUGUGCAGUGAUCCCAUCAGCAAACUUUUGUGCCUAAAAUUAUUCAUUCCAGGGGGAAGGAGUGCGUAUGAGAGCACAAGCUGUUUAGGGACCCUCGGCAGAACCGAUGAGUACAGACAGUCAUGACUACCUGUCAUCCAACAGGACAAGAAACUUAAGAAGUCUGUGAGACUGGAAGGAAGAAGUUGAAUGAGAAGCAGAGAGCAGGAGACCAGGAGUAGAGGAUGGAGCGAAGGAGGAAGAAAGAGCGUUUGCUGAAGGGGAGCACAGGUCUGAUCAUCUGGCCCAGGCCUGUGGUUCCUAACGCAUGGGUCUACGUUCACUCUGGUGCAGCACCACAGUUGUGGCCAGAAGAAGCAGUGUGCACAACUUGUUGUUACCUGGCAGACACCUCCAUGAGCUAUCACACAUCCUCUGUACACCGGAUCUACAGAACGUGAGUAAUUAGCUCCCCAUUCAUUAACAUCAUUGUUCUCAGUGCACCAGUGCAUGGACAGAGAAGCUGUACACAUAACCAUCAUCCUAUGAAGACAGCCAACCUCACUCUGCAGUUCAGGUGAGAGAAAUACAUUUCCCAUCCACCUCAUUAUCCUCCCAUGCCAUGGCACCUGUGGCACUUGGCUCAAACAGGUGGGGCGUGCAGUGAC
rnacentral:lncRNA from 1 species